GGGCGAUUAGCUCAGUUGGUAGAGCAUCUCCUUUACACGGAGGGGGUCGGAGGUUCGAACCCGUCAUCGCCCACCA
rnacentral:tRNA from 2 species